UACGUAGGGGGCAAGCGUUGUCCGGAUUCAUUGGGCGUAAAGAGCGUGUAGGCGGCCAGGUAGGUCGGUUGUGAAAACUGGAGGCUCAACCUUCAGAGGUCGACCGAAACCAUCUGGCUAGAGUCCGGGAGAGGAGAGUGGAAUUCCUGGUGUAGCGGUGAAAUGCGCAGAUAUCAGGAAGAACACCCAUGGCGAAGGCAGCUCUCUGGUCGACCUCUGACGCUGAGACGCGAAAGCGUGGGGAGCGAACGGG
rnacentral:rRNA from 1 species